GGGGUCGUGGCGGAAUAGGCAGACGCAACGGACUUAAAAUCCGUUGGUGGUAACACCGUGUGGGUUCAAGUCCCACCGUCCCCACCA
rnacentral:tRNA from 1 species